UACGAAGGGGGCUAGCGUUGCUCGGAAUGACUGGGCGUAAAGGGCGCGUAGGCGGUUCGUACAGUCAGACGUGAAAUUCCCGGGCUCAACCUGGGGGCUGCGUUUGAUACGUGCGGGCUUGAGUUCGGAAGAGGGUCGUGGAAUUCCCAGUGUAGAGGUGAAAUUCGUAGAUAUUGGGAGGAACACCGGUGGCGAAGGCGGCGACCUGGUCCGAUACUGACGCUGAGGUGCGAAAGCGUGGGGAGCAAACAGG
rnacentral:rRNA from 1 species